AACGAACGCUGGCGGCAGGCCUAAACAUGCAAGUCGAACGGGUGUAGCAAUACAUCAGUGGCGCACGGGUGAGUAACGCGUGGGAACGUGCCCUUCAGUACGGGACAACGUCGGGAAACUGACGCUAAUACCGUAUAAUGACUCCGGUCCAAAGAUUUAUCGCUGAAGGAGCGGCCCGCGUCUGAUUAGCUAGUUGGUGAGGUAAUGGCUCACCAAGGCUACGAUCAGUAGCAGGUCUGAGAGGAUGAUCUGCCACACUGGGACUGAGACACGGCCCAGACUCCUACGGGAGGCAGCAGUUAGGAAUAUUGGACAAUGGGCGAAAGCCUGAUCUAGCCAUGCCGCGUGUGUGAUGAAGGCCCUAGGGUUGUAAAGCACUUUCGUUGGGAGUGAUAAUGACCGUACCCAAAGAAGAAGCACCGGCUAACUUCGUGCCAGCAGCCGCGGUAAAG
rnacentral:rRNA from 1 species